rnacentral:rRNA from 1 species
GACGAACGCUGGCGGCGUGCUUAACACAUGCAAGUCGAACGGAAAGGCCCUGCUUGCAGGGUACUCGAGUGGCGAACGGGUGAGUAACACGUGGGUGAUCUGCCCUGCACUUCGGGAUAAGCCUGGGAAACUGGGUCUAAUACCGGAUAGGAGCCAUUUUUAGUGUGAUGGUUGGAAAGUUUUUUCGGUGUAGGAUGAGCUCGCGGCCUAUCAGCUUGUUGGUGGGGUAAUGGCCUACCAAGGCGGCGACGGGUAGCCGGCCUGAGAGGGUGGACGGCCACAUUGGGACUGAGAUACGGCCCAGACUCCUACGGGAGGCAGCAGUGGGGAAUAUUGAACAAUGGGCGCAAGCCUGAUGCAGAGACGCCGCGGGGGGGAUGACGGCCUUCGGGUUGUAAACUCCUUUCGCUAGGGACGAAGCUUUUUGUGACGGUACCUAGAUAAGAAGCACCGGCUAACUACGUG